GACGAACGCUGGCGGCGUGCUUAACACAUGCAAGUCGAACGGUAAGGCCCUUCGGGGUACACGAGUGGCGAACGGGUGAGUAACACGUGGGUGAUCUGCCCUGCACUUCGGGAUAAGCCUGGGAAACUGGGUCUAAUACCGGAUAGGACCCUGGGAUGCAUGUCCUGGGGUGGAAAGCUUUUGCGGUGUGGGAUGGGCCCGCGGCCUAUCAGCUUGUUGGUGGGGUGAUGGCCUACCAAGGCGACGACGGGUAGCCGGCCUGAGAGGGUGACCGGCGAGACUGGGACUGGGAGACGGCCCAGGCUCCUACGGGAGGCAGCAGUGGGGAAUAUUGCACAAUGGGGGCAAGCCUGAUGCAGCGACGCCGCGUGAGGGAUGACGGCCUUCGGGUUGUAGACCUCUUUCAGCACCGGUGAAGCGCAAGUGACGGUAGGUGCAGAAGAAGGACCGGCCAACUACGUGCCAGCAGCCGCCGUAA
rnacentral:rRNA from 1 species